UCCCCAAAGAAAAAGCAGUCCUCCAGUGAGCAGAGACCCUCAGGUCUGCCACAGCCUCCAAAUCCCGCUGGGACCAACGUUCCAAUCUCCCUCCUGCAGGAGCUUUUCACAGCACUUAGAGAUUUGAACAAAGCCAGACAAACUGCUGAUGAGCUGCAGAAGCAGGUGCUGGCUUCCUUCUCAAAUCAGCCCACAAACAAUGCCAAGUAACCGAGGACAGAUACGGCAGCAGAGGAACCUGGGGCGAGGACACAGAGUGGAAGAGAAGGGCGAGGGAUGCACCCAGAACAGACCUGACUAUGGGUCACUCUGCCCUACAUGCACCAAAGCUCCAUGCUGCUGCCAGCCAGGAGGUGUAAGCUCCCAGCGAUUGGCUGCACCUGCAACUGCAGCCCCAGGUGCAGGAAGGGACAUGACUGUGAGAGAAGAAUCCCUCCAUGAGGACAGGGACAAGAGGCAGCAGACCUGAAAAAUGCUCCUGCCGAUCAGCAGCCAGAGGGGCUCCUUUGGCUAAGGACAUCAACCCCUGUAAUUGCAGGAGGGAGCCCACCAGGACACACAGUCAGUGAGCAGCAGAUCUCUGUCAUGCCCUUCCAGGGUGCAGGAGCUCUCCCUCUUAAGUGACGUCACGGGUGGUUAUCCCCUCUUUCCUGUGUAAGAGCAGCAGCUGCAGCUCCUCUGCUCACUACUCAGCCAUCCUUGCAUCCUUGCGUGGACAGCUCUGUUGCCAUCUUCUACGGAGAGGACAGAGUGGCUGUCCUGGUCCCUGAGGGCAGAGACCCGGGCCUGGCAUUCCCCGAUGCUUUCAGCAUGGACUGAGAGCAGUGCCAGUCCCUCAAGGCAGCAAAGGGCAGAAGGCAAUGAUGUUGGGCGUCCACAGUGGGACUGAGAAGAUAGAGGCCCCAGUGCUGCUUCUGGCUGCAGUAGGACAGGCAGCGACCCUGGGAACAGCAGAAAGAUGCCUCCAUGGGUACCACCUCUCCUUGCUGUGGCAUACUAAGGAUCAGUCUCCUUCAAAACCGCUGCUUCUCUUUCAAGGAAAAUCAGGGCCAUGGCAUGCUGCUGACCCAAUAGCCCUGGAAGGAGAAAGAGAGACAGAGGAAGUGCCAACACAGAGGUAACCAUGAAAAUUCUAGAGUUUGGGACUUCCGCACGUCUUCACAGCACUUGAGGAUGCACUCCUCAGUGCCCAGGAAAAUGGAUAAGAAGUGUGAAAUACUCGGGCAGCAACGAUUCCACCAGCUCGGUCACAGUGAGUGAAAACCGCUGCUCUUUGAGGACAUCGCUGUAUCCGUUGAGCACCAGUUGCGGGGAAAUGGAGGCACCUUGCCGACACCCAAAAGCCCAGGAGAACUUGGAAAGCUCCAUCCCAGAAAGGAAAGCGGAGCAGGGACGGGGCCUCAGUGAUCAGAGAAAGCCUGAUGUGAUGGUGGCUCCCACGGUGCAGGACCUGCCCUCAGAGGAUGAGGCUACGCAAAGUCAUUCGGAGCAUCCUAACAUAAGAAUGCAGGCACCACAGUUCCUGAAGAGGAGUUUCUCAGAGCCUGUCCUGGGUCAGAGAGACUCCCAGCUUCCCCAUCCUCUGAGGCACUCAAGGAGGUCCACUU